rnacentral:lncRNA from 1 species
GAAAUAAGAGAGGAAAGGAUAAUGAAGAAACGAGAAAAGAGAAGAAAGAAAACUGGGGUAGUAAGUUUCAGGUGUUUUUUCUUUUUUUUUUCCUUUUUUCUUUUUUGUAUUUGUAACUUUUCUUUUUGCUGAUUUUGUAUUUAAAAAUAGGACCCACAUAUAACACAUGUUAAGUAAUAAAUAAUUUAGCAUAUGACGUGUUGUACAUGUCAGCACAAUUGAUAUACACACUCUACUGGAUGUGUUUAUUAGUGCCCAUUUUUUUCAAGCUGGAGUGUUUAAAUGGAAAAAGUGUAAGUUCAUGUAUCAGUUUUACAAAAGGAUACAAGUUUAAGUGGCCACGAGGCCAUUUGGCCUUUUGUCUAAAAUUUCAUAAACUGAUUUUUUGAGUUUUGAACAUCGAUUCGGAGUCGUAUUUGAGUAAAACUAGUAUGAUUGGACUCGUAAUUGAAUGGGUUGUCGGAUUUUGUGAGUUUUGUUGGGUUCCGAGGUACGGGCCCGGAUUUGACUUUUUGGUUGACUUUAAAUUUUUGAUUAAAGAUUCGACCUUUAUAAUUUGGAAUUAUUUUCUUAGGUAUUGUUUGAUGUAUUUGAGUUGCUUUUGGUUAGUUUCGAGCCGUUCGGAGGCCGAAACGCGUGGGAUGGCAUUUUGGAGUAUCGUUUGGCGUGCUCGGUAUUGAAUUUGGCUUGUUCGAGGUAAGUAACACUUCUAAACUUGGUGCUGUGGGUAUGAACUCCUAAAUAAACGUGAUAUAUAUUUAGGUGUUUGAGGUGAUACACAUGCUAGGUGACGAGCGUGUGGGAGUGCACCGUACGAUUUAUGACUUGGUUAUUUCUGUGGUAUUGUGUAGUUACCUAGUCUUAUUUUUAUCCAUGAGAUUUCUACGUGUUAGAGUAAUUAAGCUGUGAUACAUGUUAGAAACCAUGUUUAGGCUAUAUGCUUAUUCUGUUGGAACCCACUGAGGUCAUAUCUGCGGUGGAGCUAUAUGCUUAAAUUGCAGUUACAUACUCAGUUAUACUCAUUCAUUUGCAUAUCAUAUCUCAGUCUAUGUUGCUAUUUAUUGAUAUAUCAUAUCAUUAUUUUUGGGCUGGUUUUCAUGAAAUUGUGAGCCUGAGAGACUGGAGAGUUUGAUGACUGAGUGAGGCCGAGGGCCUGUUUGUAAGUGAUAUUUAUGGGAUCAGGCUGCACGCCGCAGUAUGCUUUAUUGAUUCAUGUCAUGAUUAGCUUAUUAUAGCGAUUGGGAUGGAUAUGCUCCUCCGAAGUCUGCACACCCACAGUGAGUGUAGGUACCUACUGAAUGCGAGUGCCGAGUGAUUGAGAAGACUGAGUGAUUGUGAGGACUGAGUGACUGGGAGGACUGAGUGAAUUGAUACUCUGAGAGUAUGCAUAUAGUUUUAUCACUAUGUUGCAUUGCAUUCGACAUGCACACUUGACAUACAAGCAUAUAGAUACAUUUUCCUUAUGUUGUAUGGUAUUGCGUCAUUCAUGACUUCACAUACACACUGACAUGUAGGCAUAGAGAUGUACUUUCCUCAUGCCAUUUGAUAAUGAAACAUCUUGCCUGUUGUUGAAAGUUUUGGGAAAAAUCAUGGUUUCUCAGAUUUACUCAUAUUUUGGUGAUUUCAGUAAAAGAUUUGGGUUCUCACUGAUAUACUUGAAAAGCAUGCCUAUUUUCUGGAACUGUGAACGAGUUGAGCAUUAUAUCUCUGAGUUAUUUCUUGUACCACUUUUAUUAUAUUGUUAUGAGCUGUUAUUGGCUAUUGGUGUUGGACUCUGACCUUUGUCCCAACUCUUCACUACUUUCAACCUAAGGUUAAGUUUGUUACUUAUUAAGUACAUAUGAUCGGUUGUACUCAUACUACACUUAUAUACCUUGCGUGCAGAUUUUGGGCUGAUAUUGGCUGUGUAUGGCGGGAGCUGGCAUUAAAGAUGUACCUACGUUCCGGUUGUAGCUGCCUCUUGUUCAUGAUAACUUUAGAUUAAUAAAAAUAUAUUUAUGUACAUUUCAAAUAGAUGAUGUAUUUAUUUCAUACCAGCCUCGUAAACUCUAAAUCUUAGAAGCUCAUGAUUUGUACUAUCAAUCCUUGGGGUUUUUGUAUAAAAGUUUAGUUAUUUUAUCAUUUA